rnacentral:lncRNA from 1 species
UCAAAUGUAAAGUCAACAUUUUCUAAAAAACAAACCAUUCUCUGCCAUUUUUUACAACAAAACAAAAACCUUAUAAACCCUAGCCUCUGCCAGGCCUUCAACUCAGCCACCGCCGCUGCCAUUCAAGGCCGAUUUAUGUCCUCAGUCAUCCCAGUCUCCGAUCGCGACGGAGAUGGGAUGAAACGCGACGAAGCUAGGUAAGUUUCUUUUCUUCUCUUUGUAUUAUUAUUUUACAAAAUUAAAAAAAAAUCAAAAGAAUAUAUGAGAAAAAUAAAAAAAAAAAUGAAAACACGAUUCACCUUCAAGUUUUUCUUUGUAUUUCAAUCUUUUCCCUCUAUUUUCUUAUAUAUUUUACACUUAAAAAAAAAUCCCCCCCAGCAUUACAGAUUUCCAAAGGCUUUUAUAGCCCGCAAAGUCGAAAAGAAAAAAACAAAUAAAAUCUGCUAAUUGUUAUUUUUUGCUGUUUUAUCUCAAUCGGACUCUUUGAGUCCACGAUUGCAGGAGUUCGUGGAGUGCACGGCGCGGGGAAAAAGGGUGGUUCUGCAACAUGCGCUGAUCGGAUCUGCUGGAGGCUGCUGGAGCGCGUCGUGGGGCUGUUGCGGCGCUCAACUGCCAUCUGCUUAGGGCUAGAGUUUUUCUAAAUUUUUUAGUUUUGGGCCAUUUAUUUGUUUUGCUUGGAUCCAGGCCAAUUGAGCCUUAUUACAGGAUUUUUUUGGCCCCAACCUGUCUCGAAUCAGCCUAAACUUUCAAAUUUGUUGUUGUUUACUUCCGUUUUUGUUGAUAUUUUGCUAUUAUAUUACUAUUAUUUUAUUGUUAUUAUUUGAAUAUUGUAUAACUCUAUUUUAUUGUUAAUUUUUUAAUAUAUUUUUAAUUUGUUAGGAAACAUUUGUUUGAAUAUUUUUAGUACAUAUGACGUAAAUAAUAUUAAAAAUUUAAUACGGGCGGGCUAGGUUGAGCUCGAAUUUAACAUUUUUAAUUUAGACUAGACUUGGACAAAAUUUUAGGCCUGUUUUAAAGUCGAGCCAGAGCUAAGCUUAGAAAACAAGCUUAAAA